rnacentral:rRNA from 1 species
GUGAGGAAUAUUGGUCAAUGGGCGUAAGCCUGAACCAGCCAAGUCGCGUGAGGGAUGAAGGUUCUAUGGAUCGUAAACCUCUUUUAUAAGGGAAUAAAGUGCGGGACGUGUCCCGUUUUGUAUGUACCUUAUGAAUAAGGAUCGGCUAACUCCGUGCCAGCAGCCGCGGUAAUACGGAGGAUCCGAGCGUUAUCCGGAUUUAUUGGGUUUAAAGGGUGCGUAGGCGGCCUUUUAAGUCAGCGGUGAAAGUCUGUGGCUCAACCAUAGAAUUGCCGUUGAAACUGGGGGGCUUGAGUAUGUUUGAGGCAGGCGGAAUGCGUGGUGUAGCGGUGAAAUGCUUAGAUAUCACGCAGAACCCCGAUUGCGAAGGCAGCCUGCCAAGCCAUGACUGACGCUGAUGCACGAAAGCGUGGGGAUCAAACAGGAUUAGAAACCCUAGUAGUCCU